rnacentral:rRNA from 1 species
GAAUUCGCCCUUAGAGUUUGAUCCUGGCUCAGGAUGAACGCUAGCGGCAGGCCUAAUACAUGCAAGUCGAACGGGAGGCCCCCUCGGGGGCCGAGAGUGGCGCACGGGUGCGUAACGCGUAUGCAACCAACCCCCGACAGGGAGAUAGCCGGUGGAAACGCCGGGUAACCCCCCAUAGUCCCCAGGGAGGGCAUCCUUCCUGGGGUAAAGCUACGGCGGUCGGGGACGGGCAUGCGUCCCAUUAGGUGGUAGGCGGGGUCACGGCCCACCUAGCCUACGAUGGGUAGGGGAUCUGAGAGGACGGUCCCCCACACUGGUACUGAGACACGGCCCAAACUCCUACGGGAGGCAGCAGUGGGGGAUAUUGGUCAAUGGGGGAAACCCUGAACCAGCGACGCCGCGUGAGUGAAGAAGUAUUUCGGUAUGUAAAGCUCUAUCAGCAGGGAAGAAAAAAUCAAAAUUGACAGUACCUGACUAAGAAGCCCCCGCGAGCUGGCGCCAUCAGUUGCUGUGAGACUUAGGGUGCCAGGGGUACCCGGAUUUAGUGGAUGGUGAACGGAGUGUAGGCGGCGGAGGCGAGUCAGAUGUGAAAGCCCCGGGGCUCAACUCCGGGACGGGAGUUGAAACUGUUUUUGCUAGACUGGUUGAGAGGUCCACGGAAUUCCUAAUGUAGCGGUGAAAUGCCUAAAUAGUAGGCAAAACACCAGUGGGGAAGGCGGUCUACUGGUCAGUAACUGACGCUGAGGCGCGAAAGCGUGGGGAGCAAACAGGAUUAGAUACCCUGGUAGUCCACGCCGUAAGCGAUGAAUACUAGGUGUGGGGGGACUGACCCCCUCCGUGCCGCAGUUAACACAAUAAGUAUUCCACCUGGGGAGUACGGCCGCAAGGUUGAAACUCAAAGGAAUUGACGGGGGCCCGCACAAGCGGAGGAACAUGUGGUUUAAUUUGAUGAUACGCGAGGAACCUUACCCGGGCUCGAACGGCAAGUGAAGAGAUCCAGAGAUGGUGACGCCCUUCGGGGCACUUGUCGAGGUGCUGCAUGGUUGUCGUCAGCUCGUGUCGUGAGAUGUUGGGUUAAGUCCCGCAACGAGCGCAACCCUUGUCGUUAGUUACCAUCAGGUAAAGCUGGGGACUCUAACGAGACUGCCACCGCAAGGUGUGAGGAAGGCGGGGAGGACGUCAAAUCAGCACGGCCCUUACGUCCGGGGCGACACACGUGUUACAAUGGUAGCUACAGAGGGAAGCCACCUGGUGACAGGGAGCAGAUCUCGAAAAGCUAUCUCAGUUCGGAUUGGAGUUUGCAACUCGACUCCAUGAAGCUGGAUUCGCUAGUAAUCGCGCAUCAGCCAUGGCGCGGGGAAUACGUUCCCGGGCCUUGUACUCACCGCCCGUCA